rnacentral:misc_RNA from 1 species
GGUCUCUUUGUGCCCUUGUCAAAACAGGAAUUGCACCACAACAGUUACAAACAAUAUCUGAAGUGACAGAGAACAAGAACUGUACACAACAAUCCAGUUACUACUUUGGUUUCUUGAAUGGAAACAAUAAGCCUAGGGACACAUAGAAAAUUAGCAUAAGAGAACCGCAGACAAUAAAAAUUCAUUAAGAUCAGAAAUUAACCAGUAAGUUAUGAGGAAACUCAGCAAUAAUGACUAAUUGGUAGAAGUAGAACCAAUGUCUGAAAUGCUAUUUCUAAUUCCUCAACACGUCCAAGCUGAAGCUGAGAUGAGCUCCUUUCGCUGCCAACAGAGAACCAGUGAAGACUGCCUCCUUUCAACAUGAAAUCCCCUAACAGGAGUUCGCUGCACCAAACACUCAGCUUG